UACGGAGGGUGCGAGCGUUAAUCGGAAUGACUGGGCGUAAAGGGCGCGUAGGUGGUUAGAUAAGUUAGAUGUGAAAGUCCCGGGCUUAACCUGGGGAGGCCAUUUAAUACUGACUGACUGGAGUGAUGUAGAGGGUGGUGGAAUUCACGGUGUAGCGGUGAAAUGCGUAGAUAUCGUGAGGAAUACCGAUGGCGAAGGCAGCCACCUGGACAUUGACUGACGCUGAGGAGCGAGAGCGUGGGGAGCGAACAGG
rnacentral:rRNA from 1 species